rnacentral:rRNA from 1 species
GACGAACGCUGGCGGCGUGCCUAAUACAUGCAAGUCGAACGCUGAAGGCGGAGCUUGCUUCUCUGGAUGAGUUGCGAACGGGUGAGUAACGCGUAGGUAACCUGCCUUUUAGCGGGGGAUAACUAUUGGAAACGAUAGCUAAUACCGCAUAAUAGUAGCUGUUGCAUGGCAUUUGCUUAAAAGUUUCAAUUGCAUCACUACCAGAUGCACCUGCGUUGUAUUAUCUUGUUGGUGGGGUAACGGCUCGCCAAGGCGAGAAGACAUCGCCGACCGGAGAGGGGGAUGGGGGACUCAGGGAGUGAGAGACGGCCCAGACUCUGACGGAAGGCCGAAGUAGGGAAGCGACGGCAAUGACGGAAGUCUGACCGAGCAACGCCGCGUGAGUGAAGAAGGUGUUCGGAGCGUAAAGCUCUGUUGUAAGAGAAGAACGGGUGUGGGAGGGGAAAGUGCGCGCUGGGACGGUAUCUUACAAGAAAGGGACGCCUAACUACGU